CAAUCAGCAGGUGGAAUUUGGGACUUCCGAAGUUCAGAGAGUCCUUGGAGAAAGUCUUGGGGAAUCCUCAGGCCCCAGCUGAGACACAGGAAAAGCCUCAUAUUGGAGCUGCUGGGCAAAGCAAUGCAUGAAUGGCAAGCCAGCAAAAUGAAUCCAGCAGAACGUUGUGAACUCCUCCCAUCUUUCUGAGAGCCCAGGGUGCUGCUGAUGAAUGUGCCAGCACGUGCCAUCCCAGCUUGGUGACAAGGCCGCCAGCUACACGGCAAAAGCCACACGGGCUUCGAAAGCCCACAGCACAGAGGAAACCUGCCGCUGCUUUCCUGCAUGGGGAGGUUGCAAAACCAAAUGAGACUCUGUGAACUGUCUCAGAUACUUAGAACAACAGGAUGUACUUUCGGUCCCAGGACAGUAUCACCAAAGAUGUCAGGAUCACGAAAACCACUUUCUAGAACAGAAAACUAUGGCAACCAUAAUUUGAUGUCAGCCUGGAGUGCCGUGGGCACCUCAUCAGCUGAUAGGGCCCUCCAUUAAGGAGAAACUGCCUGGAAUAAAAACAAGAUUGAGGAAAACAGGAAUCACAGAAGAACACAGAACGUCCAGAUAACUGCACCAAGCCAGUACAUGUCAUUAAGCAAGCUGCUACAUGAAAACAACAGAAGGAUCGCCUAUGUAAAAAAAAAAA